AGGAAGCUUGCUUUCUGGUGAGACUGGCGCACGGGUGAGUAACGCGUAGGUAAUCUGGCUUCAGAUGGGGGACAACCCGGGGAAACCCGGGCUAAUACCGCAUGAUGCAGCGGGACCACAUGGUCACAGUUGUUAAAGACGAAAGUUGUCUGAAGAUGAGCCUGCGUCGCAUUAGUUAGUUGGCAGGGUAAAAGCCUACCAAGACGAUGAUGCGUAGCUGGUCUGAGAGGAUGAUCAGCCACACGGGGACUGAGACACGGCCCCGACUCCUACGGGAGGCAGCAGUGAGGAAUCUUGCGCAAUGGGGGAAACCCUGACGCAGCCACGCCGCGUGCAGGAAGAAGGUCUUAUGGAUUGUAAACUGCUUUUAUGUGGGAAGAACCGACUGGUUUCGACCGGUCCUGACGGUACCACACGAAUAAGCACCGGCUAACUCCGUGCCAGCAGCCGCGGUAAUACGGAGGGUGCAAGCGUUGUCCGGAAUCAUUGGGUGUAAAGGGUGCGUAGGCGGGUGUCUAAGUCUGAGGUGAAAUCCUGCGGCUCAACCGUAGCAUUGCCUUGGAUACUGGGCAUCUUGAGUGUGAGAGAGGUCGGUGGAAUUCGUGGUGUAGCGGUGAAAUGCAUAGAUAUCACGAAGAACACCAGUGGCGUAGGCGGCCGACUGGCUCACAACUGACGCUGAGGCACGAGAGCGUGGGGAGCGAACAGGAUUAGAUACCCUGGUAGUCCACGCUGUAAACGAUGGAUACUAGGUGUUGGCCCGAAUGGGUCAGUGCCGCAGCCAACGCGUUAAGUAUCCCACCUGGGGAGUACGUUCGCAAGAAUGAAACUCAAAGGAAUUGACGGGGGCCCGCACAAGCGGUGGAGCAUGUGGCUUAAUUCGAUGCAACGCGAAGAACCUUACCCGGGCUAAAUCUGCCCUGCUACUCCGGGAAACCGGAGGUUCCUUCGGGACGGGGCAGAAGGUGCUGCAUGGCUGUCGUCAGCUCGUGCCGUGAGGUGUUGGGUUAAGUCCCGCAACGAGCGCAACCCCUAUGACUAGUUACCAGCGUGUAGAGACGGGGACUCUAGUCAGACUGCCUACGCAAGUAGAGAGGAAGGUGGGGACGACGUCAAGUCAUCAUGGCCCUUACGUCCGGGGCUGCACACGUGCUACAAUGGGCGGUACAGAGGGUGACUACACCGCGAGGUGAUGUUAAUCUCGAAAACCGUUCUCAGUUCGGAUUGGAGUCUGCAACCCGACUCCAUGAAGCUGGAAUCGCUAGUAAUCGCGUAUCAGCAACGACGCGGUGAAUACGUUCCCGGGCCUUGUACACACCGCCCGUCAAGCGAUGGAAGUAGGUAGUACCUGAUGUCGCUGAGCUAA
rnacentral:rRNA from 1 species